CAGAAGCAGCAUUAGACACGGGCGUCGCUUCCAACACUUCAAGCAUACGAAUAAAGCACAUCCAUUCCACCCUUCGGUUUCGCUGCUGCUCGUCUGAAUCUUCCAUCGACCUCGGCUUCCUUCUCCGAUCUCCUCACCCAAUUGGGAUCUCCAAAGUCUCAUCUGUCUCCUGCACCAAUUAUUCCGGAGUCUUCCGAUCGGAAGAAAGCCAUUCCAAAUGAGAAUUCGAGCCUCAGAGACUCCACCUUUGAGCUCCAGUUCCAAUCCGAAUCCCACCCCGCCCCUGUCUUCUCCAUCGAUUUCUCCUCUUUCGAAUGAUUCCUCGAGCCGUUGCCAAGGCCUCGACCUCUUGGUGUUGGCUGUCAUUGAAGUCUUUGGGGACACAGCUUUGCAGAUGGAGCACAUUGAUGGCGAUGGAGUUGGACAGGAGGAACGGAAGCAAGACGGCAUCGAGAUGAGGAAGGAGGAUCCGAAUAUCAGAGUUGAAGCUGACCUGAAACGGAAGGGGAGGAGGAGGCCAUUGUCAACGCCUUCUAGGUUCCAGGAUUCGGUGCUGCAGCCAUGGAAGCGGAGCACCCGGCGGCGGCUAAGCGGGGGGAAGCAAUAGGGUCUGGCGGCAAGGGUACUGAUCCUAAGCACCACCAAUCGAACAAGGUAAGCACUAUAAAUGCUGGAGGAAACUGUUGCUGAUCCAUAAAAGGACACUGAUGUCUUCAUAUCACUGGAACAGAGUUUGUGGACAUAUAAAUCAGAUUCUGAAGAGUUCAUGGAGUUGUUUAUGCCUUUGCUUGCAUUGACAGUGCAAAAUCCAUAAAUUUCAGUUCCAGGAAAUGCUGAAGGAUGUAGAACCGUGGAUGGAUCAUAAAUCUUGCUUAAGGUAAGCCUAUAUGCCAGGUCAAACCCUGUUUUAUCUGUCAUUUCUUGAACGAAGGUUGGUCUUUGGCAGGACUAACACUUGUGUCUUCCCCAUAGUGUCAGGUUCAAAUGAAGUCCAUCUUGGUUCAAUUAUUUUAUUGAA